GCUGGUCAUGGUGGUGCACACCUGUAAUCCCACCAACUCGGGAGGCUGAGACAGGAGGAUCGAAAGUUGGAAGCCAGCCUGGGCAACUUAGCGAGAUCCUGUCUCAA
rnacentral:sRNA from 1 species